rnacentral:rRNA from 1 species
GACAGAGGAUGCAAGCGUUAUCCGGAAUGAUUGGGCGUAAAGCGUCUGUAGGUGGCUUUCAAGUCCGCCGUCAAAUCCCAGGGCUCAACCCUGGACAGGCGGUGGAAACUACCAAGCUGGAGUACGGUAGGGGCAGGAGGGAAUUUCCGGUGGAGCGGUGAAAUGCAUUGAGAUCGGAAAGAACACCAACGGCGAAAGCACUCUGCUGGCCGGACACUGACACUGAGGAGCGAAAGGCAUGGGGAGCGAACAGG